UCUCGCUCACGCGGUUUCUGCAGCUGCGUUGGCGUACUUGUGCUCUUCGUUAUGGAAGAAAACAGUCGACGAGCGAAGAGCAACCGCAUGUGCAGUGUGCCGCAAUGCACAAAUCGUGCAAUUUCCGGAAAAGUGAGCCUGCACCACUUUCCAAAAGAUAAAAAACGGAGGAAGUUGUGGGCGAUCAAGCUCCGCAUCGGGAAGGAAGUAAGCGAAGAAAUGGUCGUAUGUAGCGAUCAUUUUAACAAAGACGACUUCUUUUGGGGCCACCUUGACGGGUUGAAGCCCUUACGAAAGCGGCUGAAAAGAAACGCCGUGCCUUCGCAAAAGAUCCCUCUGCGCUCCCACGAAGCAAGUGUGAGGCCUAGGGCUCCCCGAAGAAAGCCCCCCACAGAUUCUCAAGGAAACGAGGGCCAACAGGACGACGUAUCUGAAGUGGUCAUUAAUGAAGAUUGCGCAUGCGAGCUUCCUGAUAAUUUGGAAGAAAGUGAA